UUGAACGCUGGCGGAAUGCUUUACACAUGCAAGUCGAGCGGCAGCGCGGGGGCAACCCUGGCGGCGAGCGGCGAACGGGUGAGUAAUACAUCGGAACGUACCCAGUUGUGGGGGAUAGCCCGGCGAAAGCCGGAUUAAUACCGCAUAAGUCCUGAGGGAGAAAGCGGGGGACCGUAAGGCCUCGCGCGAUUGGAGCGGCCGAUGUUCGAUUAGCUAGUUGGUGGGGUAAAGGCCUACCAAGGCGACGAUCGAUAGCUGGUCUGAGAGGACGACCAGCCACACUGGAACGGAGACACGGUCCAGACUCCUAAGGGAGGCAGCAGUGGGGAAUUUUGGACAAUGGGGGCAACCCUGAUCCAGCCAUGCCGCGUGAGUGAAGAAGGCCUGCGGGUUGUAAAGCUCUUUCAGCAGGAGCGAAACGGUCGUUUUUAAUACAGACGGCUAAUGACGGUACCUGCAGAAGAAGCACCGGCUAACUACGU
rnacentral:rRNA from 1 species